AACCUAUGAUGUGGACAUAGCCUAAGAAAGUCUUUGAAUCAUUCAUGUGCCUCGAACAGUAUUUCAAGUUCUCCUUGCUUAAAUGCUGAGAUCUUUUGUCUGAUCUU